rfam:Picea glauca, whole genome shotgun sequence.
GGUGAUGUAGCUCAUAUGGUAGAGCACUCGCUUUGAAUGCGAGAGGCACGGGGUUUGAUUCCCCGCAUCUCCA